CAAGACGUAGCUAAACUAAAGCAUUCAGCUUACACCUGAAAGAUAUCUGCCAAGCACCAGAUCGUCUUGA
rnacentral:tRNA from 1 species